GAGGGGUCUGCAGUGGGACUGGACAUGAACCCAGGAAUGACUCUAUCUUAAGACCAUGGAAAUAAGCACUGGGGCUGUGCACCUCCAAAUAUUGUCUAUCAGUAUGAUUUCCUGGAGGAGACACUUGGCGUGAAGGACCGUACCUAUAUAUACUUUGGUCUCCAUUCAAAACACUUGGAAUAAUCUUCAUUUGUUCAGUAAGUUAUAAACCUAUCCCACUCUUCCUUGAGGGUCAACAAUUCUGUUCCCUAAUCUCUGGAGUACUAUUGAGAUGGGACAUCAUUGCAUGUUUAUUCCCCAGGAGUGCCCUCUGCUCUUGCCCGUCAUGCAUCAUAUGAGCACUUCCUUGAGCAGAGAGCCCAUCUCCUUAGCUAUUUUAGUCCUUGAGGUAGCCUUAGUGGCUGUCAGUAUGUAUGCUUCUCCCCUUCACAGCCCCCCCCCAUUAUCAGGGAUUUCUUUUUAAUAUUGGUAAGUGUGGGAUUUAAGUGGUGGAAUUUUGGAUCUAUUUUGAAGGUGGAGAUAACAUAUUUUUGGUGUUUGAAUGCAAGAUUUGAUAAGAUGAAAAGAACAAAAGAUAAGAUUCAAGGACUUCAGAUCUUUUUAAACCACUGAAAGUUUGGAGUUGACCGUAGUUGGGAUGGGGAAAACUCAGUUUAGUCAUUUCAAUCUAAACUUGAGUAACAAAGAAGCUAAGUUGAAUAGAUUGUUAAGACAGUGGUUUGUCAGUGAGUUGAGGCAGUGUGAGAAACCAUGUAAUAAUUGUAUGCUCAUUAAAAAGCGAAAGGUAAAAAAGAUCAAAAGAUCAAGAAACAGCAGCCUAGUGUAUGAUGGUGGUUCCAAAGUUUGAGUUUCUCAGUAAGAAGGCACCAGAUAGGUGUGUUGUAGAUUCUGGGGAGGCAGGGAGACAAGAAGAACAAAUCGUGACAGAAUCUCCUUUCUUCUAGAAAACUGAAUCCAGAAAGCUCUUUCUAUAUAAAGCACUUCAUGAAUUAGCACCUUCACAGGAGCACCUGCCAGGCAAGUCAGACGUCCUGGGUAACUAAUUGCUUCCAGUUCUGUUGUAGUUUCAAACCAUCUACCUCCUGCUGGAGAAAGCUGACUGGAGAGAGGGGAUUUUUUUUUUUUUAAGUAAGGUAGAAAAGUGCCUCUUUCCAAAUGGAAGGAAAAACAAAACCAAAGUCAUUAGGUGCUCAGCAGCAUAGGAUGGCUUUCUGCAGAGAGGACACACUGGAGAAAUAAAAUCAGGUUGGAGAGGGUGGCAAGAGCUCUCCCACUGGUUAGGGACUAUCAGAGAGGCAGGCAAAGGCCUUCCUUCUAAUUAGUUCAUGGGAAUGUGAAAUAGAGCCCCCGAAGUCAAGACCUAGUUAUUACAGCUGCUUCUGGACGCAGCUUGUGGAGGGACACUUUGGCCCCAAGAUGACAAUGAAAUCAAAGACAACAGAGAAGAUCUUUAAGUUCCAAUCUAAGAUUCAGUGUGGAAGUUAAGAAUUUAUGAGAGUGAUGUAUAAUUUAUGUGUUUGGGACAUCCAAAAAAAUCCAGUAUAUUUUUAAUGCUUUAAUAAAUCUAUACAUAUAUAAAGUACUGUGAUCAUAAUUAUCCCAUUAUCUUCUGCUUUUAGCUCUUAUCUCUUUUUCAUUCUUGCCAAACUCUUCCCCCCCCCCCACCCCCCAGCCUCCUAUGUUUCAUUAGGGUCGCUUCCUAGGGUGUGAGUGGUAGUAUUUACUUGAGUCAGGACAACUUAGCAGUGGCUAUAUAACUGAAACAUGUGACUCUUCCUCCCCCAGCCACUUAGGGAUAGAUGAGACCCCAUGAGCAUUCCUCACAACUGCCAUCUGUGGUGGACUAUUGAUGGGUCCAGUCUUGUGACUACUACUUGUAUCUUCUAUAGCUGUGAGUUCAGUGCAAGAGCUAUGUCAACUCCAAAAGACAAGGUCUUAUUACACUACCCAUGUUUUCAUCCUCUGGCUCUUCCAUUCUUUCUACCUUCUCUCCUGAGAUAGUCCACAAGCCUUGGAGUGGGCGAUACAAACAUCCUCCUUAGGGAUGUGUGCCCAUCGGUCUCUCACUCUAAUCACUGUGACCUUUUAUGAGGCUGCCUUUACUACCACCCACCGCCACAAGGAGCCUCUCUGACCAAGGCUGAGAACAUCACUCAUCUAUGGGAGGAAACAUAAAUAUUUGUAUGGUGGUUUGACAGCAUGUCCAUUUUGCACAGCAUUAGCGAAAAACAGGAGUUCAAGUCGAUCAGAAUUUUAGGUACUUAAAAGAAAAAUACUGCAUUGUCAAAACGGCAAUAAAACUGUUCUCAACAAAUCAUGAAAUGGCUCACUUGGUCUUUCUGUUUGUUUGUCCUCUGGGGUCACAUGACUUUUCCGUAGUGGCUUUAUGACAAAUUAUGAAUCACAUAGGAGGCAAGAUGUUUGCUACUAGAUGCUUG
rnacentral:lncRNA from 1 species